GCUUCCUUGGCUCAGUUGGCUAGAGCGCAGGUCUCAUACAAAAUAGUAUGAUCUUCUACUACGAAGAGUAAUCCUGAGGUCGCAAGUUCGAGCCUUGCAGGGAGCA